GGGACGAUGAUGAUGACCUAAAUUGUCUGAAGAAAGGUGAUGAAUAAAAAAUCUUACCCAGAGGAUUGAGCUGAGGCCC